UAGUGAUGAUCAUGAUGAUCGUGAUGAUCAUGAUGAUCGUGGUGAUCGUGGUGAUCGUGAUGAUCAUGAUGAUCGUGUCCA
rnacentral:pre_miRNA from 1 species